UAUUACAAUCAGUAUUAGUCAAGCAUGUCGCAGGAUGUAAGCGUAUUGUUUUAGAAAACAAGUUGUGUUUAAAUUAGUUUAUGUUUCUCCGUAUAUUGUUUAUAAUGAAACUUACGGUGGAUACUACCCCGGGGAAGUGUAGGUGAUUUUUGGAUUAAUAGUUGAAGAUGACGAUCCUAAAUACGGAAGUGCUCUGCCUAAUGAAAAUUAAGCCAACUGAUGGAGAAGGAACUUGUAGGAAUCAAUUGGAAAUAUCGCACUUUGAAACUUUGGAUUGUGGUAAUUCUCGACGUGUUGAUCAAAAAUCUCAAAGGACGCCAAGUCGUAAAAACUCAUCUUUUUGAGACAUGCAUUCAUUCGUAAGGCCUUCCAAGCUGAUUCUGGUUAUCGUUCCUGGAGUUACGAUGUUGAAGGAAGUUCCUUGAAAUGCCAGUGCGAGGAUGGAGAUAGUGAUUCGACCAAAACCACACGGCUGUUUCUGGUUUUCUUCCUGGAGUCAGAAGUUGAUGGAAGUUUGUUAAAAUGUCAUUGCGAGGAUGGAAAGGGUGAUCCAGUCAAAGUCACAUGGCUGCUUCUGGUUUUUCUUUCUGGAGUUGGACGUUGAAGGAAGUUAGUUGAAAUGCCAGUGCAACGAUGGAGACAGUGAUCCGACCAAAAUCAGAUGUCCUUUUCUGGUUUUUCUUCUUGGAGUCAGAUGAUGAAGGAAGUUCGUUGAAAUGCCAGUGCGAGGAUGGAGACAGUGAUCCGACCAAAACCACAUCGUCGUUUCUGGUUUUCCUUUCUGGAGUGAGAAGUUGAAGGAAGUUCGUUGGAAUGCCAAUGCAGGGAUGAAAACAAUGGUCCGAUCGAAGCAACACGGAAUCAUCACCAUCAGGAUCCAAUACAUCUGGGAGCCUCUCGUCGUCGUUCUUCCAUCGAGGGACCGGCUACAUCGCGGGUGAUUACGGGCGGGAGUGUCCUGGAGCUUCCAGAUUCGAACUUCGAAGGCUCCAGCACUCGGAACUUCGGAAUUUCCGUGAUACCGAGUCCUGGAGACUUUGAAAUUCGAAUCUCAAGGUCUCCAAAACUACGGGUCUCGAAAUUUUCGAGAUCCUUAUUUUUGGAGACUAAGAGAUUCGAAUUUCAAUGUUUCCAGGUCUUAGUACCACGGAACUUCCGAACUACGCGUGCUGGGGGCUUCUAGUUCGAAUCCGGGGCUCCAGUCGUCGGGCGUUGUCCCGGACGGUCUUCGAAUUAAAAAAACCUUUAGCGCUAAACCUGGUAGGCCUGAAAAUUUUUUUUUUGUCUAAAUAAAACAACUACGUAUUAUAUAUA
rnacentral:lncRNA from 1 species